GAUGAACGCUGGCGGCGUGCCUAAUACAUGCAAGUCGAGCGAAAAGAUGAGGAGCUUGCUCCUCUGACGUUAGCGGCGGACGGGCGAGUAACACGUGGAUAACCUACCUAUCAGACUGGGAUAACUUAGGGAACCCGGAGCUGCUUCAGGCUACUAUAUUGAAUCGCCUGGUUUACUAGUGAAAGUAGGUUUUGCUGCGACUUAUAGAUGGAAUGGCGCCGCUUUAGCUGGUUGGUAAGGUAACGGCAUACCAAGGCAACGAUACGUAGGCGACCUGUGAGGGGAGGCAGCCACACUGGAACGGAAACGCGGUCCAGACUCCUACGGUAGGCAGCAGAGGGGUAUCUUCCGCAAUGGGCGGAAGCUUGGCGGAGCAACGCCGCGUGAGUGAUAAAAGGCUUCGGAUCUGAAAACUCUGUUAUUAGGGAAGAACAAUUGAGUAAGUAACGAGGCACGUCUUGAAGGUACCUAAUCAGAAAGCCACGGCUAACUACGUG
rnacentral:rRNA from 1 species